rnacentral:rRNA from 1 species
AGUGAACGCUGGCGGUAGGCCUAACACAUGCAAGUCGAACGGCAGCACAGUAAGAGCUUGCUCUUACGGGUGGCGAGUGGCGGACGGGUGAGGAAUACAUCGGAAUCUACUUUUUCGUGGGGGAUAACGUAGGGAAACUUACGCUAAUACCGCAUACGACCUACGGGUGAAAGCAGGGGAUCUUCGGACCUUGCGCGAUUGAAUGAGCCGAUGUCGGAUUAGCUAGUUGGCGGGGUAAAGGCCCACCAAGGCGACGAUCUGUAGCUGGUCUGAGAGGAUGAUCAGCCACACUGGAACUGAGACACGGUCCAGACUCAUACGGGAGGCAGCAGUGGGGAAUAUUGGACAAUGGGCGCAAGCCUGAUCCAGCCAUACCGCGUGGGUGAAGAAGGCCUUCGGGUUGUAAAGCCCUUUUGUUGGGAAAGAAAAGCAGCAGGUUAAUACCCCGCUGUUCUGACGGUACCCAAAGAAUAAGCACCGGCUAACUUCGUG